rnacentral:rRNA from 1 species
CAGUCGCCGCGGGAAUACGUAGGGUGCAAGCGUUAAUCGGAAUUACUGGGCGUAAAGCGUGCGCAGGCGGUCCGCUAAGACAGAUGUGAAAUCCCCGGGCUUAACCUGGGAACUGCAUUUGUGACUGGCGGGCUAGAGUAUGGCAGAGGGGGGUAGAAUUCCACGUGUAGCAGUGAAAUGCGUAGAGAUGUGGAGGAAUACCGAUGGCGAAGGCGAUCCCCUGGACCUGUACUGACGCUCAUGCACGAAAGCGUGGGGAGCAAACAGGAUUAGAUACCCCUGUAGUCCCUGUCUCUUAUAC